CAACUCAUUCUAACUGCAAAACAAAAUAGCUAUCACUUUCUCUGUUCUCUCUCUAACUUCAUUCAUACCUAGCAAUGGCGCUUAGGGUCUCACACCCGAACCUUCGGAUUCUCUUUCUUCUUUCUCUCCUAGCGAUCGCUUCCGCUAAGGUCUUUUUCGAGGAACGCUUCGAAGGUAUUAUUCAUCGCACAUUCCAUUUCCUCUGUUUUCAUUUUAAUUUACUAGAUCGUGAGCUUAGGUUUUAUGUUUUUUAUGCAUUUCCGGUUUUCAAUUUACGAAUCUGGUAGCAUUUUGUUCAGGAUCAAUGUUUUUUUGCAUGCUUGAGCCUCGAUCUGAGUGCUUCGAAAUUUUGAUUUGUAUUUGGAGUAGAUCUGUGCAUGUGUUUACUGUUUUGGAUCUUAUUAUUAGUCUAUAUUUAAAAUGUGUUGGUUCUUCAUCGGAUUAUGAUAAUCAUAAUGAUGUAAUUGUGAAAAGAGGUUCCGACUGUUGAAGUGUUUGUACCAACAUUUACAUGCAACUGUGAUUUUGAUUUCGUAAAUUUAAUUUAUUCAAAAAUCUCUGAACCUGAAAUGUGCUUUCUCUUACUUCUAAUUUUGGUAGUUUUGUUAUGUUGAUUAAAUGGUUAUGGUAAUUUUGGUUUUCAUUAACUUAUUUUUUUAAGCUGCCCUUGGAUAAAGGCUUGGUUGUUAUUUUUGUUCCUAGAGAGUGAGGUUGAGAUUUUUAUUAGUUAUAAAUAUUUUCCUUUAUCUAUCUUGAUUGUGCAUUGUCUAUAAAUUACUUUGUGCACUUCACAUUUGCUUUUUCGAUGUCCGUAUUCAUGAUUCUCUGUAUUAUUUUUAAUUGUCUUGAAUUAGUAUUUGUUUUUUCCCAAUGCUUAUGUGCAUUGUUGUGAAUUUUGAAGAUGGAUGGGAAAGCCGAUGGGUUAAGUCUGAUUGGAAGAGUGAUGAGAAAUUGGAAACUAUCAAAAAAAUUGUCAUUCUCUACGAUUUUCUCUCCCCUCAACAACUAUCAACCUCCUCAAAGCCUGAUGGCAAUAUCGUAAAUAACUUACCCACAUACGUGCACAGUCAUAUGCAGUAGCUAAAUUUACGAAUGCCGUUAUGCCACAUGACAUCAAUGACAAAUUCCUUAUACGUGGCACUCCACUAUUGGUUGGAGUCUGCCACAUAGCUUCCACGUAACACUAACAACAUAAAAUUCCAAUUAUACCCACCACACUGAAACGAAUGCAAGAUGAUGCACUAUAUAGCAACUCAUUCUAACUGCAAAACAAAAUAGCUAUCACUUUCUCUGUUCUCUCUCUAACUUCAUUCAUACCUAGCAAUGGCGCUUAGGGUCUCACACCCGAACCUUCGGAUUCUCUUUCUUCUUUCUCUCCUAGCGAUCGCUUCCGCUAAGGUCUUUUUCGAGGAACGCUUCGAAGGUAUUAUUCAUCGCACAUUCCAUUUCC
rnacentral:lncRNA from 1 species